rnacentral:rRNA from 1 species
GAUGAACGCUGGCGGCGUGCCUAAUACAUGCAAGUCCAGCCGCGGCGGACGGGUGAGUACUGUCUGGGAACCUGCCUGACGGAGGGGGAUAACUACUGGAAACGGUAGCUAAUACCGCAUACCAUCAGAUGUGCCCCGCUGGGAUUAACUGGUAGGUGGGGUAACGGCUCACCCAGCCGACGCUCCCUAGCUGGUCUGAGAGGAUGACCAGCCAAACUGGAACUGAGACACGGUCCAGACUCCUACGGAAGGCAGCAGUGGGGAAUAUUGCACACUGGGCGCAAGCCUGAUGCAGCCAUGUCGAGUGUAUGAAGAAGGCCUUCGGGUUGUAAAGUACUUUCAGCGGGGAGGCGUUACCCGCAGAAGAAGCACCGGCUAACUCCGAGCCAGCAGCCGCGGUAAUAC